GGCUCACGUUGAACGCUAGCUACAGGCUUAACACAUGCAAGUCGAGGGGCUGCAUGGUCUUAGCUUGCUAAGGCCGAUGGCGACCGGCGCACGGGUGAGUAACACGUAUCCAACCUGCCGUCUACUCUUGGACAGCCUUCUGAAAGGAAGAUUAAUACAAGAUGGCAUCAUGAGUCCGCAUGUUCACAUGAUUAAAGGUAUUCCGGUAGACGAUGGGGAUGCGUUCCAUUAGAUAGUAGGCGGGGUAACGGCCCACCUAGUCUUCGAUGGAUAGGGGUUCUGAGAGGAAGGUCCCCCACAUUGGAACUGAGACACGGUCCAAACUCCUACGGGAGGCAGCAGUGAGGAAUAUUGGUCAAUGGGCGAGAGCCUGAACCAGCCAAGUAGCGUGAAGGAUGACUGCCCUAUGGGUUGUAAACUUCUUUUAUAAAGGAAUAAAGUCGGGUAUGGAUACCCGUUUGCAUGUACUUUAUGAAUAAGGAUCGGCUAACUCCGUGCCAGCAGCCGCGGUAAUACGGAGGAUCCGAGCGUUAUCCGGAUUUAUUGGGUUUAAAGGGAGCGUAGAUGGAUGUUUAAGUCAGUUGUGAAAGUUUGCGGCUCAACCGUAAAAUUGCAGUUGAUACUGGAUAUCUUGAGUGCAGUUGAGGCAGGCGGAAUUCGUGGUGUAGCGGUGAAAUGCUUAGAUAUCACGAAGAACUCCGAUUGCGAAGGCAGCCUGCUAAGCUGCAACUGACAUUGAGGCUCGAAAGUGUGGGUAUCAAACAGGAUUAGAUACCCUGGUAGUCCACACGGUAAACGAUGAAUACUCGCUGUUUGCGAUAUACUGCAAGCGGCCAAGCGAAAGCGUUAAGUAUUCCACCUGGGGAGUACGCCGGCAACGGUGAAACUCAAAGGAAUUGACGGGGGCCCGCACAAGCGGAGGAACAUGUGGUUUAAUUCGAUGAUACGCGAGGAACCUUACCCGGGCUUAAAUUGCAGAUGAAUUACGGUGAAAGCCGUAAGCCGCAAGGCAUCUGUGAAGGUGCUGCAUGGUUGUCGUCAGCUCGUGCCGUGAGGUGUCGGCUUAAGUGCCAUAACGAGCGCAACCCUUGUUGUCAGUUACUAACAGGUUCCGCUGAGGACUCUGACAAGACUGCCAUCGUAAGAUGUGAGGAAGGUGGGGAUGACGUCAAAUCAGCACGGCCCUUACGUCCGGGGCUACACACGUGUUACAAUGGGGGGUACAGAGGGCCGCUACCACGCGAGUGGAUGCCAAUCCCCAAAACCUCUCUCAGUUCGGACUGGAGUCUGCAACCCGACUCCACGAAGCUGGAUUCGCUAGUAAUCGCGCAUCAGCCACGGCGCGGUGAAUACGUUCCCGGGCCUUGUACACACCGCCC
rnacentral:rRNA from 1 species